rnacentral:rRNA from 1 species
UACGGGGGGAGCAAGCGUUGUUCGGAUUCACUGGGCUUAAAGGGCGCGUAGGCGGGCUCGCCAGUCAGGGGUGAAAUCCUGGAGCUCAACUCCAGAACUGCCUUUGAUACUGGCGAUCUUGAGUCCGGGAGAGGUGAGUGGAACUGCGAGUGUAGAGGUGAAAUUCGUAGAUAUUCGCAAGAACACCAGUGGCGAAGGCGGCUCACUGGCCCGGUACUGACGCUGAGGUGCGAAAGCGUGGGGAGCAAACAGG